CUCCUACGGAGGCAGCAGUGGGGAAUUUUGCGCAAUGGGGGAAACCCUGACGCAGCAACGCCGCGUGGAGGAUGAAGCCCUUGGGUGUAAACUCCUUUCGAUCGGGAAGAUAAUGACGGUACCGAUAUAAGAAGCCCCGGCUAACUUCGUGCCAGCAGCCGCGGUAAUAC
rnacentral:rRNA from 1 species